CACUAGGGGUGCGUGUAAGCUGAGAGGAGUCCUGGACUCUGACCCUUAGAACCCGAACUGGAUAAUACCAGCGUGGGGAAGUGCAUAG
rnacentral:ncRNA from 1 species